rnacentral:rRNA from 1 species
GCCAGCCGCUCGACGCCGCCCGUCGUGACGACAACUCGGAUCCACGGCUACUCCAUGCUGCUUCGCCCGCAGACUUUCGACACCAUCGUCUUCCGUGGUCUCCCCUGGAAUGUCAAGGUGUACCCGGACUGGGAUGGUCUCGACGAGCUCGGCCUAGCGGACAGGUUCAUUGUCUCGAUCGAAAUCGACGAACUCUACCGCGGCAGUCUCAUAGACUCGGGCCUCCACACAGAAAUCUCCAUAGAAAUAGAAAUCCUUGACGAGACCGGCGAGCACACGGUCUUCCAAGAUGGGAACUUCAUGCCCUGGUGGAUGAGCAACGCGGACAUCUUUAUGUUCUGCGUGUCAAGGAGGGAGCUGGAGGCGUCGUCGUGUGUCCGCAACGGCAGCUUCACCGUCAGGUCCACCAUAACUAUGAAGCAGGCAGCAAAGCAAAACUUGUCCGAAUCCAAGGAGCUCGCGGCGUUGGACACCAUGUCUGGGUCCCACACGCUCAUCAUCAGCAACUUCUCCAAGCUUAAGGCCACGCUCCGCGACGAAGAAUGUGCCUGCUCCCCACGUUUCACCAUAGGGGGGUGCACAUGGUACCUCAAAGUCUGCCCCAACGACGCCUGCGGAUUUGCCUCCCUGUUCCUCGGACGUUCAAAUAAGGCGGACGACAGGCCCACAACGGCGGAGUUCAGCUUUGAGCUUGAGGGGAUGAUGAAUUUCCAGUCCGACAAGAUGACGCACACGUUCUACCAUGCCAACCAUCAACACUUAAUUAAAUACGAGCUGGAGCCGUUGAGUUCGUUCUCGGCCAUGCACGACGACCGCCUCCUCCUUCGGUGCCGUCUCGCCGUCGUCGUUUCCCCUGCUGCGAUUCCGAUUCAGACUGCCAUCCCAAGCACUGAAUCCGUACUUACUCCUCUAAUAAGC